rnacentral:rRNA from 1 species
UACGUAGGGUGCAAGCGUUGUCCGGAAUUAUUGGGCGUAAAGAGCUCGUAGGCGGCUUGUCGCGUCGACUGUGAAAUCCCGCGGCUCAACUGCGGGUCUGCAGUCGAUACGGGCAGGCUAGAGUUCGGUAGGGGAGACUGGAAUUCCUGGUGUAGCGGUGAAAUGCGCAGAUAUCAGGAGGAACACCGAUGGCGAAGGCAGGUCUCUGGGCCAUACUGACGUGAGGAGCGAAAGCGUGGGGAGCGAACAGG